AUACAGAGGGUGCAAGCGUCAAUCGGAAUUACUGGGCGUAAAGCGUGCGUAGGCGGUUUCGUAAGUCGGAUGUGAAAGCCCCGGGCUCAACUUGGGGAAUUGCAUUCGAGACUGCGAAGCUGGAGUGCGGAAGAGGGAAGUGGAAUUUCCGGUGUAGCGGUGAAAUGCGUAGAUAUCGGAAGGAACAUCAGUGGCGAAAGCGACUUCCUGGUCCAGCACUGACGCCCAGGCACGAAAGCGUGGGGAGC
rnacentral:rRNA from 1 species